rnacentral:ncRNA from 1 species
ACGCAACUCUGGAGAGUGCUGCAGGUAUGAGCAGCCACCAAAGGGGAAAACCAUUUUAGGUAAACUUUCAGGUGCAAGGACAGAGA